UAAUUCAUCAUGCCACCACCGUACAUCGGGCCAUAAUUCAUCACGCUGCCACUAUGCAUUGGUCUGUAAUUGAUCAUUCCGCCGCCAUAUAUGUAAGCCAGCUUCUUCGCCAUGUCUUCUUCGGUAAUGGCUGCCACUUCUCCAUCACCUUCCUUUUUCUGCUCCUCGCCGGCAGCUUUGUCGCCGUCAGUGGCGGCUUGCUCUUGGGGAGCCUUCUCUUCUUCCUUUUUCUCUUCUACCUUCUCUUCUUUCUUCUCCUCUGCAGGCUUCUCCUCCGGUUUCUUUUCUGCUUCCUCUUUCUUCUCUUCUUCCUUCGGUGGAGGCGGUGGUGGGGGUGGGAUUACCUUUGCUAGUUUUCUGGUUUUCCGAUAAAUAUACUUAACAAGCUGUUCGGCGUCCAUGGUUCCGGUGACUGUCACCUUCCUCGUCGUCAGCUCUGUCUCUACCGCUUGCACUCCUCUCAUCUUGAGUAUCUUUCUCCGGAGCUGUUGGGCACAUGCCUCGCAGUGCAUGUUCACAAGCAGCUCAACUGUAGUAACCCCACUCACCUGUGGUGGAGGAGGUUCUGGGUUGGUGGCUUCUCCAUCAGCUGGGGGUAAUGGGGAGAGGACUUUAGCACUGCGCAUUGUUUUCUUUUGUAUCCUGGCGCAGAGCGCUUGGGGGUCCACUGCACCUUUAACCGUCACCUUGUUUUGCCCCAUGUCGACCUCAACUUCUUCAACACCUUUGCAUUUCCAGAUGGACCUCUCAAUCUUCUUUGCACAUCCAACACAGUGUACCUGCACAGACAGGAUGAUGGGUGGUGGAGGGGAGGGGACAGUCUCCUCCUUCUUCUCCUCUGCCGGCUUCUCCUCCUUCUCCUCUGCAGGCUUCUCCUCCGGUUUCUUUUCUGCUUCCUCUUUCUUCUCUUCUUCCUUCGGUGGAGGCGGUGGUGGGGGUGGGAUUACCUUUGCUAGUUUUCUGGUUUUCCGAUAAAUAUACUUAACAAGCUGUUCGGCGUCCAUGGUUCCGGUGACUGUCACCUUCCUCGUCGUCAGCUCUGUCUCUACCGCUUGCACUCCUCUCAUCUUGAGUAUCUUUCUCCGGAGCUGUUGGGCACAUGCCUCGCAGUGCAUGUUCACAAGCAGCUCAACUGUAGUAACCCCACUCACCUGUGGUGGAGGAGGUUCUGGGUUGGUGGCUUCUCCAUCAGCUGGGGGUAAUGGGGAGAGGACUUUAGCACUGCGCAUUGUUUUCUUUUGUAUCCUGGCGCAGAGCGCUUGGGGGUCCACUGCACCUUUAACCGUCACCUUGUUUUGCCCCAUGUCGACCUCAACUUCUUCAACACCUUUGCAUUUCCAGAUGGACCUCUCAAUCUUCUUUGCACAUCCAACACAGUGUACCUGCACAGACAGGAUGAUGGGUGGUGGAGGGGAGGGGACAGUCUCCUCCUUCUUCUCCUCUGCCGGCUUCUCCUC
rnacentral:misc_RNA from 1 species